AAUCGUACCCCAAACCGACACAGGUGGUCAGGUAGAGAAUACCAAGGCGCUUGAGAGAACUCGGGUGAAGGAACUAGGCAAAAUGGUGCCGUAACUUCGGGAGAAGGCACGCUGAUAUGUAGGUGAAGCGACUUGCUCGUGGAGCUGAAAUCAGUCGAAGAUACCAGCUGGCUGCAACUGUUUAUUAAAAACACAGCACUGUGCAAACACGAAAGUGGACGUAUACGGUGUGACGCCUGCCCGGUGCCGGAAGGUUAAUUGAUGGGGUUAGCGGUAACGCGAAGCUCUUGAUCGAAGCCCCGGUAAACGGCGGCCGUAACUAUAACGGUCCUAAGGUAGCGAAAUUCCUUGUCGGGUAAGUUCCGACCUGCACGAAUGGCGUAAUGAUGGCCAGGCUGUCUCCACCCGAGACUCAGUGAAAUUGAACUCGCUGUGAAGAUGCAGUGUACCCGCGGCAAGACGGAAAGACCCCGUGAACCUUUACUAUAGCUUGACACUGAACAUUGAGCCUUGAUGUGUAGGAUAGGUGGGAGGCUUUGAAGUGUGGACGCCAGUCUGCAUGGAGCCGACCUUGAAAUACCACCCUUUAAUGUUUGAUGUUCUAACGUAGGCCCCUUAUCGGGGUUGCGGACAGUGUCUGGUGGGUAGUUUGACUGGGGCGGUCUCCUCCUAAAGAGUAACGGAGGAGCACGAAGGUUGGCUAAUCCUGGUCGGACAUCAGGAGGUUAGUGCAAUGGCAUAAGCCAGCUUGACUGCGAGCGUGACGGCGCGAGCAGGUGCGAAAGCAGGUCAUAGUGAUCCGGUGGUUCUGAAUGGAAGGGCCAUCGCUCAACGGAUAAAAGGUACUCCGGGGAUAACAGGCUGAUACCGCCCAAGAGUUCAUAUCGACGGCGGUGUUUGGCACCUCGAUGUCGGCUCAUCACAUCCUGGGGCUGAAGUAGGUCCCAAGGGUAUGGCUGUUCGCCAUUUAAAGUGGUACGCGAGCUGGGUUUAGAACGUCGUGAGACAGUUCGGUCCCUAUCUGCCGUGGGCGCUGGAGAACUGAGGGGGGCUGCUCCUAGUACGAGAGGACCGGAGUGGACGCAUCACUGGUGUUCGGGUUGUCAUGCCAAUGGCACUGCCCGGUAGCUAAAUGCGGAAGAGAUAAGUGCUGAAAGCAUCUAAGCACGAAACUUGCCCCGAGAUGAGUUCUCCCUGACCCUUUAAGGGUCCUGAAGGAACGUUGAAGACGACGACGUUGAUAGGCCGGGUGUGUAAGCGCAGCGAUGCGUUGAGCUAACCGGUACUAAUGAACCGUGAGGCUUAACC
rnacentral:rRNA from 1 species